GGGGAUUUGGCUCAGUGGUAGAGCGCUUGCCUAGCAAGCAUAAGGCCCUGGGUUCGGACCCCAGCUCUG
rnacentral:tRNA from 1 species